rnacentral:rRNA from 1 species
GAUUCGNAUGGGGGAACCCUGACGCAGCAACUCCGCGUGGGUGAAGAAGGCCUUCGGGUCUUAAAGCCCUGUCAGGUGGGAAGAACGUCCUGGGGUUGAAUAGACUUUGGGAGUGACGGUACCACCAGAGGAAGCACCGGCUAACUCCGUGCCAGCAGCCGCGGUAAUACGGAGGGUGCGAGCGUUGUUCGGAAUCAUUGGGCGUAAAGGGCGUGCAGGCGGUUGGGUAAGUCUGAUGUGAAAGCCCGGGGCUCAACCCCGGAAGUGCAUUGGAAACUGUCCNGACUUGAGUACCGGAGAGGAUGGGGGAAUUCCCGGUGUAGAGGUGAAAUUCGUAGAGAUCGGGAGGAAUACCAGUGGCGAAGGCGCCCAUCUGGACGGAUACUGACGCUGAGACGCGAAAGCGUGGGGAGCAAACAGGAUUAGAUACCCUGGUAGUCCACGCUGUAAACGAUGAGCACUAGGUGUAGCGGGUAUUGACCCCUGCUGUGCCGCAGCUAACGCAUUAAGUGCUCCGCCUGGGGAUUACGGUCGCAAGACUAAAACUCAAAAAAAUUGNACGGA